AUUGAACGCUGGCGGCAGGCUUAACACAUGCAAGUCGAACGAUUGGCGGACGGGUGUGUCAUGCUUGGGAAUCUAGCUUUUGGCGGGGGAUAACUACGGGCAACUGUAUCUCAUACCGCUAACCGUAGGAUGAGCCCACGUGGGUUGAGGUAGUUGGUGAGGUAAAGGCUCACCAAGCCGACGAUCUCUAGCUGGUCUGAGAGGAUAAUCAGCCGCACAGUGACUGGGACACGGCCCAGAAUCCUACGUGAGUCAGCAUGGGGGAAUAUUGCAAAAGGGGCGCAAGGCUGAUGCAGCCAUGCCGCGUGUAUGAAGAAGGACUUAGGGUGGUAAAGUACUUUCAGCGGGGAGGCGUUACCCGCAGAAGAAGCACCGGCUAACUCCGUGCCAGGCGCCGCGGUAAUAG
rnacentral:rRNA from 1 species